rnacentral:ncRNA from 1 species
ACAGACUUAGUCCCAACCUUACCGUUAAUUCUUGCUAGGCACAUACAUGCAAGUAUCCGCACCCCAGUGAGAAUGCCCUCCGCCCUAUCAAUUAUCAAUAGCUGGAGGAGCAGGUAUCAGGCACACCCUUCCCCCCGUAGCCCAAGACACCUUGCACUAGCCACACCCCCACGGGUACCCAGCAGUAGUUAACCUUAAGCAAUGAGUGCAAACUCGACUUAGCCAUAGCAACCCCUAAGGGCCGGUAAAUCUUGUGCCAGCCACCGCGGUCAUACAAGGAGCCCAAAUUAACCGUAUACGGCGUAAAGAGUGGGACCAUAAUUUAUCCUUUAACUAGAGCUAAGAUAUAACCAAGCCGUCAUAAGCCCAUGAGAUAAUAAAAACCCCCAUUAACAUGACUCUAGAAUCCCCGAUACAACAACCCCCCACGAAAGCCAGGGCCCAAACUGGGAUUAGAUACCCCACUAUGCCUGGCCCUAAAUCUCGAUGCUCUCCAUAACUAGAGCAUCCGCCAGAAUACUACGAGCACAAACGCUUAAAACUCUAAGGACUUGGCGGUGCCCCAAACCCACCUAGAGGAGCCUGUCCUAUAAUCGAUAACCCACGAUACACCCAACCGCCUCUUGCCAAACAGCUUACAUACCGCCGUCGUCAGUCCACCUCCAUGAGAGCCCAACAGUGGUCACAAUAGUCACCAACCCACUAAUAAGACAGGUCAAGGUAUAGCCCAUGAGGCGGAAGAGAUGGGCUACACUCUCUAAAAUAGAGAACCCUACGGACGGGACCAUGAAAAACCCCCUAAAGGCGGAUUUAGCAGUAAAGAUGGACUCAUAAAACCACCUUUAAAAAGGCCCUGGGACACGUACAUACCGCCCGUCACCCUCCUCACAAGCUACCCUUCCCAAUAACUAAUACCACCACCAGCUAAAGAUGAGGU